rnacentral:rRNA from 1 species
AUUGAACGCUGGCGGCAGGCCUAACACAUGCAAGUCGAACGAGUGGCGGACGGGUGAGUAAUGUCUGGGAAACUGCCUGAUGGAGGGGGAUAACUACUGGAAACGGUAGCUAAUACCGCAUACCAUCAGAUGUGCCCAGAUGGGAUUAGCGUGUUGGUGGGGUAACGGCGAACCAAGGCGACGAUCCCUAGCUGGUCUGAGAGGAUGACCGGCAACACUGGAACUGAGAAACGGUCCAGAUUCCUACGGGAGGAAGCAGUGGGAAAUAUUGGACAAUGGGCGAAAGCCUGAUGCAGCAAUGCCGCGGGGAUGAAGAAGGCCGUCGGGUUGUAAAGUACUUUCAGCGGGGAGGCGUUACCCGAAGAAGAAGCAACGGCUAACUCCGUGCCAGCAGCCGCGGUAAUUC